rnacentral:rRNA from 1 species
CGCCUUGCCAGCCCGCUCAGAACUCAAAGGAAUUGACGGGGGCCCGCACAAGCGGCGGAGCAUGUGGAUUAAUUCGAUGCAACGCGAAGAACCUUACCUGGGUUUGACAUACACCGGAAAACCGUAGAGAUACGGUCCCCCUUGUGGUCGGUGUACAGGUGGUGCAUGGCUGUCGUCAGCUCGUGUCGUGAGAUGUUGGGUUAAGUCCCGCAACGAGCGCAACCCUUGUCUUAUGUUGCCAGCACGUGAUGGUGGGGACUCGUAAGAGACUGCCGGGGUCAACUCGGAGGAAGGUGGGGACGACGUCAAGUCAUCAUGCCCCUUAUGUCCAGGGCUUCACACAUGCUACAAUGGCCAGUACAGAGGGCUGCGAGACCGUGAGGUGGAGCGAAUCCCUUAAAGCUGGUCUCAGUUCGGAUCGGGGUCUGCAACUCGACCCCGUGAAGUCGGAGUCGCUAGUAAUCGCAGAUCAGCAACGCUGCGGUGAAUACGUUCCCGGGCCUU